rnacentral:rRNA from 1 species
GCAGUCGAGGGGUAUAGUGUUCUUCGGAGAUCAGAGACCGGCGCACGGGUGCGUAACGCGUAUGCAAUCUACCUUUUACAGAGGGAUAGCCCAGAGAAAUUUGGAUUAAUACCUCAUAGUAUAACAUCACGGCAUGGUCAAGUUAUUAAAGUCACAACGGUAAAAGAUGAGCAUGCGUCCCAUUAGCUAGUUGGUAAGGUAACGGCUUACCAAGGCUACGAUGGGUAGGGGUCCUGAGAGGGAGAUCCCCCACACUGGUACUGAGACACGGACCAGACUCCUACGGGAGGCAGCAGUGAGGAAUAUUGGACAAUGGGCGCAAGCCUGAUCCAGCCAUGCCGCGUGCAGGAUGACGGUCCUAUGGAUUGUAAACUGCUUUUAUACGAGAAGAAACACUGAUUCGUGAAUCAGCUUGACGGUAUCGUAAGAAUAAGGAUCGGCUAACUCCGUGCCAGCAGCCGCGGUAAUACGGAGGAUCCAAGCGUUAUCCGGAAUCAUUGGGUUUAAAGGGUCCGUAGGCGGUUUGGUAAGUCAGUGGUGAAAGCCCAUCGCUCAACGGUGGAACGGCCAUUGAUACUGCCAGACUUGAAUUAUUAGGAAGUAACUAGAAUAUGUAGUGUAGCGGUGAAAUGCUUAGAGAUUACAUGGAAUACCAAUUGCGAAGGCAGGUUACUACUAAUGGAUUGACGCUGAUGGACGAAAGCGUGGGUAGCGAACAGGAUUAGAUACCCUGGUAGUCCACGCCGUAAACGAUGGAUACUAGCUGUUGGAAGCAAUUUCAGUGGCUAAGCGAAAGUGAUAAGUAUCCC